rnacentral:rRNA from 1 species
UACGAAGGGGGCUAGCGUUGCUCGGAAUCACUGGGCGUAAAGCGCACGUAGGCGGAUUGCUAAGUCAGGGGUGAAAUCCUGGAGCUCAACUCCAGAACUGCCUUUGAUACUGGCGAUCUUGAGUCCGGGAGAGGUGAGUGGAACUGCGAGUGUAGAGGUGAAAUUCGUAGAUAUUCGCAAGAACACCGGUGGCGAAGGCGGCCAACUGGACCAUUACUGACGCUGAGGCGCGAAAGCGUGGGGAGCAAACAGG